GCUUGUCUCAAAGAUUAAGCCAUGCAUGUCUAAGUGUAAAUAAGUCUAUACUGUGAAACUGCGAAUGGCUCAUUAAAUCAGUUAUCGUUUAUUUGAUGAUCUCUUACUACUUGGAUAACCGUAGUAAUUCUAGAGCUAAUACAUGCACAAAAUCCCGACUUACGAAGGGAUGUAUUUAUUAGAUUUAAGGCCAACCGAGCUUGCUCGUCUCUUGGUGAAUCAUGAUAACUUCACGAAUCGCAUGGCCUCGCGCCGGCGAUAUUUCAUUCAAAUUUCUGCCCUAUCAAUUGGCGAUGGUAGGAUAGAGGCCUACCAUGGUGUUAACGGGUGACGGGGGAUUAGGGUUCGAUUCCGGAGAGGCAGCCUGAGAAACGGCUACCACAUCCAAGGAAGGCAGCAGG
rnacentral:rRNA from 1 species